rnacentral:rRNA from 1 species
UGAGUAACCUGCCCUUAACUCUGGGAUAAGCCUGGGAAACUGGGUCUAAUACCGGAUAUGACUCCUCAUCGCAUGGUGGGGGGUGGAAAGCUUUUUGUGGUUUUGGAUGGACUCGCGGCCUAUCAGCUUGUUGGUGAGGUAAUGGCUCACCAAGGCGACGACGGGUAGCCGGCCUGAGAGGGUGACCGGCCACACUGGGACUGAGACACGGCCCAGACCUCCGUACGGGGAGCAG